rnacentral:rRNA from 1 species
GUGGGGAAUAUUGCACAAUGGGCGAAAGCCUGAUGCAGCGACGCCGCGUGAGGGAUGACGGCCUUCGGGUUGUAAACCUCUUUCAGCAGGGAAGAAGCCACAAGUGACGGUACCUGCAGAAGAAGCGCCGGCUAACUACGUGCCAGCAGCCGCGGUAAUACGUAGGGCGCAAGCGUUGUCCGGAAUUAUUGGGCGUAAAGAGCUCGUAGGCGGUUUGUCGCGUCUGCUGUGAAAGCCCGGGGCUUAACCCCGGGUGUGCAGUGGGUACGGGCAGACUAGAGUGCAGUAGGGGAGACUGGAAUUCCUGGUGUAGCGGUGGAAUGCGCAGAUAUCAGGAGGAACACCGAUGGCGAAGGCAGGUCUCUGGGCUGUUACUGACGCUGAGGAGCGAAAGCAUGGGGAGCGAACAGGAUUAGAUACCCUUGUAGUCC